AAAUUUUGAUUAUGGCCAUCUAAAUGUGGUCCAAAAUGGAUUGUCUGCACUGAGGAGUUGGCGGCUCUAUCUAGCUCGGGCAAUUUUCUCUGUUUCUAAGUUCUUACAUAAGCAACUUGCCAAUGUAUCUCAACUAAAAGAAAAAAAGACAUAAUAUAAACCAGUAGACUUUAUAAUUUUACAAAAACCAUGUCGAUUUGCUUUUGGUGGUUUCUAUAUUUGGGGUACCAUAUAUAUUUCUACGUAUUAUAAUUCUAGGGAUUCUAUUCUGGUGCAGAUGGCUUCUAGGUUACCCAGUAGUGUACUUGUUUAGAAAGGACCAUAUCGGAGAUGCUAUAUAUAACCUUUCCACCAAAUUUCUUCAUAUCUACAAAAUUUUGGUAUCGAGGAAAAGUACGUCCAAUAAAGAAUCACAUCUGGAGGAACUAAUGAGUUUUUCAGUGCCCUAUGAACUGAGCAUGAGAGGGAGCAAUGAGCCAUGGGCAGAGUCGUUUUUGGCUCGCUUGCAGUCGAAAAGGGGAAGAUGCAAACAAACUUGGAGCUCCUUGGAAAUGGAGGUCACCGAAUGCUACCCACAAGCGAUUUCAUAAUAGAAAAUGGUCUACUCGAAAGCCAAUUAAACCCUAGUUCCGGCAGGUCACCGUUCCAUUCUGCAUAGUAACUGCUUAGAUUAUCCAACACUA